GGGGUUGUGGCUCAGUGGUGGAGCGCUCGCCUAGCAUGUGUGAGGCCCUGGGUUCGAGCCUCAGCAUCCUAU
rnacentral:tRNA from 1 species